ensembl:lncRNA
CAACACAUCCCCACCCCCGCAUUUCGCUGCACCUACGGUGUCCAAGAGGAGCUGUCCGGAGCACGCGGCUGCCUCCUACCACCGUAACUAGGGGAGAGAGGGCGUGGCGUGGCUAGGACCAGCUUUCUUUCAGGAGGACCAGGGUCGCUGCCUUUGGGGAGCCCCCAAGGCUCCUACCCUCCGCUGGCUCCCUGUGGCCCCUAACCUAUCUCCUGGUCUAUGGUCUGCACGCUGUUGGCAAAUUAUGUCUUCCUGAGCUAUUGUUCCCAUUGCAUCUUCCCCACCUCCAACGCGCUCCGUGCCCUGGGCCUGUCUUCAGCAGAGCUUUACAAACUUCUUAGCAGUAUUUUGGGUGAUUCGUGCGCACUCUGGCGUUUGAGAUGCUGCCCUCCUGCGCGGGCAUUAGAGUUCCACAUUCUGACCCCAGCCCAUCCUCUCCUGCCCGGAUGCUUUCUUACCACCCAACUACACCAUUCCAUGUGCCUCACUAUGGCUCCCCCCAGUUGUAUUCCCAUAUCUAUUCUAUUCUUCAAGGUCUAAAGUUGGCAGAUAGUGGGCCCGAAGCAGGUUGUUGAUGUACUUUGUUUAGCCCACAUAAGUCUUUUUAAAAUUCUAAUUCUUCUUCCUUCUCUUCUUCCUCUUCCACCUCUUCCUCCCCUUCCUCCUCUCCCUCUUCUCCCUCUUCCUCUUCCUCCUCUUCCUCUUAUUUCCUCUUUUGAAAUAUCAGAAGAUCUAACAACAUGGACUCACAUUUCACCCUGGCACGAGAGGCUGGCACAUUAAUUUGCCAUAGUCCCCACCAAUCCCUAUUUGUGGGCUUUUUCAAACACACAGACUAGCUGCUAACUGUGCACUGCGUGGGGCUAUUUCCUAAUUGUCAACUCCUUUCAACAAAUAUUUACUAAGUGUAUAUGAUGAACAAGUUACUGUACUAGACCCUGGAGUUAAAGACACUCGCAGUUUAGGGUGGGAGGUACACCACACAGAAAGAACUGUGGUCCCCUGUCCCUGCCAAACACUCCUUGCACUCCCAGGUGCUGGGCAACAUGGAUGACUAACCAACUGGGAAGACCUGCAAUACAGAGCUGCCGGUGCCUGGGGAUACUACAGGCUCCCAGGGAAGGCCCCAUGGCCACACUCCCCAGUACGUAGUUGCAUAUCUUAGUUAUAGGUUCUUCUAUGUGGGACACCACCUCAGCAGGACUUGAUGAGUCGUGCUAGGUCUGCACCCAGGAUCUGAACUGGCAAACCCUGGGCCGUGGAAGCAGAGCAUGCGAACUUAACCACUCCACCACAGGGCUGGCCCCCUGGGAAAUUAAACUCUUCAUACCAGGAAGAAGUCAGAGUAAAAGGUACAUGGCUGCCCCAUCACAGCCCAAUGGGCCUGUGUACCAAGAAGAGGGUGUGCCAACAUCAGAGUGGUCCCCAGGCCCUGGGACUUCCUGAGCAAAAGGCCUUCCCAGAGCUAGAUGGCUGUUUGAGGGAAUCCCCAGGCUCCUUGGAGAGGAGGCCAGUCUGGGGAGGAAUUCGCAACUCCAGUUUAGGAAAACAGAUUGAGCACAUGUAAAACAUUCACUCCUGCUCCAAACACAUGGCAUUCCUG